UACAGAGGUUGCGAGCGUUGUUCGGAAUUAUUGGGCGUAAAGCGCGUGUAGGCGGGAUGGCAUGUCGAAUGUGAAAGCCCUCGGCUCAACCGAGGAAGUGCGUUCGAAACUACCGUUCUUGAGUAUCGGAGAGGGUGGCGGAAUUCCCGGUGUAGAGGUGAAAUUCGUAGAUAUCGGGAGGAACACCAGUGGCGAAGGCGGCCACCUGGACGAAUACUGACGCUGAGACGCGAAAGCGUGGGGAGCGAACAGG
rnacentral:rRNA from 1 species